AGUGAACGCUGGCGGUAGGCCUAACACAUGCAAGUCGAACGGCAGCACAGUAAGAGCUUGCUCUUACGGGUGGCGAGUGGCGGACGGGUGAGGAAUACAUCGGAAUCUACUUUUUCGUGGGGGAUAACGUAGGGAAACUUACGAUAAUACCGCAUACGACCUACGGGUGAAAGCAGGGGAUCUUCGGACCUUGCGCGAUUGAAUGAGCCGAUGUCGGAUUAGCUAGUUGGCGGGGUAAAGGCACACCAAGGCGACGAUCCGUAGCUGGUCUGAGAGGAUGAUCAGCCACACUGGAACUGAGACACGGUCCAGACUCCUACGGGAGGCAGCAGUGGGGAAUAUUGGACAAUGGGCGCAAGCCUGAUCCAGCCAUACCGCGUGGGUGAAGAAGGCCUUCGGGUUGUAAAGCCCUUUUGUUGGGAAAGAAAAGCAGCAGGUUAAUACCCCGCUGUUCUGACGGUACCCAAAGAAUAAGCACCGGCUAACUUCGUG
rnacentral:rRNA from 1 species